UACGGAGGAUCCAAGCGUUAUCCGGAUUCAUUGGGUUUAAAGGGUGCGUAGGUGGCCUUAUAAGUCAGCGGUGAAAGUCUGCAGCUUAACUGUAGAACUGCCAUUGAUACUGUAAGGCUUGAGUACUGAUGAGGUAGGCGGAAUUGAUAGUGUAGCGGUGAAAUGCAUAGAUAUUAUCAAGAACACCGAUUGCGAAGGCAGCUUACUAAGGAGUUACUGACACUGAGGCACGAAAGCGUGGGGAUCAAACAGG
rnacentral:rRNA from 1 species